rnacentral:rRNA from 1 species
GAUGAACGCUAGCGGCAGGCUUAACACAUGCAAGUCGAGGGGUAUAGUUCUUCGGAACUAGAGACCGGCGCACGGGUGCGUAACGCGUAUGCAAUCUACCUUUUGCAGAGGGAUAGCCCCAGAGAAAUUUGGAUUAAUACCUCAUAGUAUAGUACUUUGGCAUCAAGGAACUAUUGAAGUCACAACGGCAAAAGAUGAGCAUGCGUCCCAUUAGCUAGUUGGUAAGGUAACGGCUUACCAAGGCUACGAUGGGUAGGGGUCCUGAGAGGGAGAUCCCCCACACUGGUACUGAGACACGGACCAGACUCCUACGGGAGGCAGCAGUGAGGAAUAUUGGACAAUGGGCGCAAGCCUGAUCCAGCCAUGCCGCGUGCAGGAUGACGGUCCUAUGGAUUGUAAACUGCUUUUAUACAGGAAGAAACACUCCGACGUGUCGGAGCUUGACGGUACUGUAAGAAUAAGGAUCGG